AUGGGCCACAGAGAAUUUGAAGUGGCUCAGCCAGGACCCUUCCCCUACAUGACGCCUCCUUUCAUCCUCCCUCCGCUGACAAACAGCCACACCAUGAAUGAAGUCUUGGGGCGUUCCCUGGAAACAGCGCUUCUAUCCUCUCAGUGUCCUUGGGGCUCCCUGAUAUUGAUGAUUUGGCUGAUGGCAACACCUCAUAGCCAUGAAACUGAGCAGAAAAGACUGGGACUUCUUGCUGGAUUUGCUUUCCUUACAGGAGUUGGCCUGGGCCCUGCCCUGGAAUUUUGUAUUGCUGUCAACCCCAGCAUCCUUCCCACCACUUUCAUGGGCACAGCAAUGAUCUUCAUCUGCUUCACCCUCAGUGAACUCUAUGCCCGGCGCCGUAGCUACCUCUUUCUGGGAGGUAUCUUGAUGUCAGCCCUGAGCCUGUUGCUUUUGUCUUCCGUGGGGAAUGUUUUCUUUGGAUCCAUUUGGCUUUUCCAGGCAAACCUGUAUGUGGGACUGGUGGUCAUGUGUGGCUUUGUCCUUUUUGAUACUCAACUCAUUUAUUGAAAAGGCCGAAAAUGGAGAUCAAGAUUAUAUCUGGCACUGCAUUGAUCUCUUCUUAGAUUUUGUUACUCUCUUCAGAAAACUCAUGAUGAUCCUGGCCAUGAAUGAAAAGGAUAAGAAGAAAGAGAAGAAAUGAAGUGACCAUCCAGCCUUUCCCAAUUUGACUUCCUCUCCUUCCACCCCUCAUUUCCUUUUUGCACACAUUACAGGUGGUGUGUUCUGUGAUAAUGAAAAGCAUCA